rnacentral:misc_RNA from 1 species
UUAAGUUCAGCGGGUAUCCCUACCUGAUCCGAGGUCAACCUUAAGAAGUUGGGGGUUGUUGGCAAGCAUCCACCGGGACCCUAUCGCGAGAAAAUUUACUACGCGUAGAGCCCGACGGCACCGCCACUGAUUUUAAGGCCCGCCCGGAGGCGAAGCUCAAGACCCCGCAAGCGGGAGUGGUUAAUAUGACGCUCGAACAG